ACCGCCGCGCGCCGGGUUCGAAUCCGACCAAAACCAAAAAUCCGACGCCGCCGCAGACGCGGAAUCCCGCGCGACGGUCCGGCGCCCGCCUCCGCCACCGGACUCCAGGUCCGGCGAGCCGCCGCGCCUGGGUCCGGCCUCCGCGCGACGGCCUCCGACGCCGCUUCAGGGUCCGGCGCCCCGCCUCCGCCUCCGGCCUCCACGACCGCCGCACCGCCGCCUCCGACUCCGGCCUCCGCCUCCGGCCUCCACGACCGCCGCGCCGCCGCGCCCGGGUCCGGCCUCCGCCUCCGGCCUCUAGAGUUCAUGGAGGAUGGAGUGUGCUUGCUUGGCGUGGGUUCAAAUGCUUGGAGGGAAGGGAUGGUGCUCGGCUAGAGGAGUUGGAGUCCGUGAGUUGCUCUGGAAGCUGCUCCUCCUCCUCGCGUCCUCCUCCAGCGCUGCCGCCGGAAUCUACCAAAGCCAGAGAGUUGUUGGUCAUCGCGUGGCCCUUUCAGCUCCAUGGAGAAGCAGGGGCUUCGCUGCCAUGGAUGGCCCUGACGUCGCCCCCAAGGGCAGGCCCUCUACUCCAGCCUGGAUAUGGCAGAACCAUGGCCCGAUCUCCGCGGCAGCUCUAGCUCAUCGCCAAUCUCCACGGGAUCCAUGUGAGUUUUCCUCCCUCUUGUCGUAUUCCUUGGGCGGCCAUGGCAGCGCUUCUGCAGCCAUGAGUAGAGGAUGGGGUCCUGGUGCUCACGAUUUUGCAUUAGAUAAAUGAAAUUGUUAUCUCAUGUUCAUGUAAUCUUGCCAGCACAAACUAUGGUGCUUGUACUGUUCUUGUGUGCCCCCUACUUAGCAGCUGUGCGAUUGAGAGGAGCAGCUGCUUAGAUUAGAUUGCCUGCGAGGGAGAUGGAUUGGGAGGAGCUCGUGCUGUAUUUGUGGCUCGGGUAGGAUCAGAUGACCAGAUGAGGACAGAAGAAAAGAGGGGUGUGCUGGUGAGUUGUUACUUGCCCAUUUGGAGGACGAAAAAGAAAGAAGCCAGCUAUUGGGAUUGCUUGCUUGGUGGAGGGUGAGGGAGAAGACAAGCCUGAAGGUGGAAAGCCAGCUAGAGAAUAAGAGGCUGGGAGCAUUUGGAAUACAUUAUUCAGAACAUGUCACAAGUGCUAACAUAUUCUUCAGAGAUUGUAUUCCGUGGAUGAAGUAAAAAAAUUGGCAUCAUAUUUAUUUUUUUGUUAACCCAAUUCAUGGUAGUCUUGGCAAUUUAUGGUUGUUUCUGGUCAGAUGUUUCUAUUAACUGAAAAUUCAUUGUAGUUGCUUCAAAUUCAGAAUUUAUUUUUGUCAACCCAAUUCAUGGUUGUGAAAUUGUUAUAUUGUUAUUUAGUUAAUAAUGUUCCUUGCCUGAAACCUGCAAAGCUUACCUGGACAGCUAUGCAUAAGAAGCAGUAGCCAUUUAUUUAGCUAUUCAUGGAUUAUGCCAUUCUUUACUGCUGAUAUUAAGGUAGUUUUGUGCAAAGAAAUGCACAGGCUUUGUAGUGCUGAAUUCUCAUGUUGCUUUGUAGUGCUGAUUUCUCAAGUUGCUGUUGUGCACAGGCAAGUAAUCUCUAGGUUCUCCUUCCCUUUUCCAUCCUGUAUUUCUCUUUUUAUCAUAAGUAUUUCCAUGAUUGUUUUUAUCAUAUUCAUUCAAUUGUGUGUUAAAAUAUGGAAAGAAUAAAGGACAAAAGAAUGACAUAUCAUGAACUUCAUGACAUCGACAACGAGAUCAGUCGUUCACCAGCUUCAUUGCAUCAAUUCGAUACAAAGGUAUGACUUAACUUUUGCUUCAAAGCAAGUGUUGUACUGCAUGGAGAACAUACAUACAUGGAACCAUGAGUCGAGUUCAGUCUUAGAAGUAUAGAGAAUUCAUUUGAAUUUUGCAACUGUAGUUCCAUUGCUCGAGGGAAAGAAUACUGCAAAAUGAAAAUUAAUUUCAAUUUUGAUGAACUGAUUCAGGUGUGUUCUUGCUAAGAUGUUAUGCUCUUUUAUGCCUGUAUAAAAUGUACCGAUUCCAGGAGUACACUUCUUUACAAAUUUCUGCCACCAAAACAGUUAGCGCUUCAUUACUUGCUUAUAACUGUUUAUUACUUGGAUUGUCUCACUUAUGAAGCCUAUGAUAAAGAAACCAUCAUGUACAUUUUGAUUAGAGUAACAUGGAUUUUUUUUUCGUCUGUGGCGAUAGCCUGCGAAGGAGCAGCUGGAGGGUCAGGCCCUAGGGAUCAACAAGCAGCCAAGCAGGAUGUGGUGCUUAGGCGUGGGUUCCUCUUUGUCCAGGCAGCGAUGAAGAGUACAGCUGGGCAUACCGUGGAAGAGGACAACGGAAGGGAGCAGGCCAGCAGGGUCGAUGUGGCUAUGUUCUUCGAACAUGGCGGGCUCACCUUGGGGGUACGAACAAGAACCUCAUCAUGAACGACAAACAAGAGGCUAUGAUUGAGUUUCUGCAUCAUGUCAGACCGACCUUUUAGGUGCAGGGGAAUACGGCUGGGUCUUCAUUCAUGUUGAAUUAAUUUGAUGAAAAACUUGGACUUAGGUUAUGGUUGAUUUAAUUGGAUGCUCCUUUCCUGACCUGAUGUGUUCAAGUUUCAUCAGUUAGGUACUCUGCUUAUUAGUAGCAAAACUUGUGCUUGCUCUACAAAAGUUAUUUCUGCAGUGCAUGUUGGAUUUCUCAA